CAAGGGAGAAGCUGCAGAAGUGGUUCAGCUGUGCCGUUCACACUGGAUCCUAUUAGGCUCCAGAGUGAGUAUCUUCUGGCUGCACCUUUCCCACCCAGGAAACCCUCCUGCCUACCUCAUGCCAUGCUGCCAUCCUGGUCUGAUACAGCCCCUUCUGUGCUCUGAUACAAGGAUUUCAGGAUCUGUUCCCUCUCCUGGGCUCUGGUUGGCUCUACUCCGGGCAUGAGGGGCUCUCCUGCUCUGACAUCACGUGCUGCAGGUGAGGGUGUUGCCAGAGGGGUCUCAGUUCGCAGCCCUUGGGAGCAAAGGGAUUUGGACGUGCACAACUUCAGCAAUCCCAAGGGCUUAGAGGGAUGUAGCUGAACAGUGUUCUUGGAGUUGGAUCUGAAACAUUGCUCUGGGGAAAACUUAGAAAGAAGGGUGGCAAGGGGGAGCUGGUGUUCUUGAGAAAGGCUUGCUGUAAGAGCUGAAGCCCAGGCAAGUUACACAGCACGGCAGCGUUGGGCAUCGCCAGCACGUUGCUACCACAAACAGUUGCAGGUGAGGAGGAAAAAGCUGGGGCUGCCCCACAGCACAGGCUCAGGGUGAUGCAUGGGGCUGCCCCUGCUGCAUGCCCCCCAUACUCCCCUUUCCCACACAAUCCACCCAGGUCAUGGUGAAAUCCCAUGUGCAGCCUGCACUGAGUGUAAGGGGAAGUGAAUCUGUCCGUCCCCUUUGCUUGCGUGGGUUACAGGAAUUGUUGCUGUGGAGUGAGCGUUGUGGCCAUGGAACAGCCCUGGUGGAGGUGCUGCUGGGGCUGAGACCCCUGUAGCUGCAUGCCUAUGGGGUGUGGCUGCACUGAGCAUCCUUGGGUGCAUUGUUCUUUCUCUCCCCCUCCCCUCUGCAUUUCUCCUUGCAGGAGAGGUUUCAUGCAGGACCUUGGAGGCUCGGUGGUGCACUUCCUGUUAUGGCCGGUGAGCUAUUUGCUGGGAGAGGGGAGCUGGAAGGCAGGGAAGUGGGGAAGAACCCCAAGGCUUGCCAUGCGAUGUGGGGA
rnacentral:lncRNA from 1 species